CCUCCCCUGAUGUCAGUGUGACAGACCCCACAGACCCACCAUCCUCCCAUGGUGUCAGUGUGACAGGUACAACAGGCCCGUUAUCCUCCCCUGGUGUUGGUGUGACAGACCCCACAGACCCGUUAUCCUCCCCUGGUGUCGGUGUGACAGACCCCACAGACCCCGUUAUCCUCCCCUGGUGUCAGUGUGACAGACCCCACAGACCCAACAUCCUCCCCUGGUGUCAGUGUGACAGACCCCACAGACCCACCAUCCUCCCCUGGUGUCAGUGUGACAGGUACAACAGACCCGUUAUCCUCCCCUGGUGUCAGUGUGACAGACCCAACAGACCCACCAUCCUCCCCUGGUAUCAGUGUGACAGACCCCACAGACCCGUUAUCCUCCCCUGGUGUUGGUGUGACAGACCCCACAGACCCACCAUCCUCCUCUGGUGUCAGUGUGACAGACCCCACAGACCAGUU
ensembl:lncRNA